ACAAUUAGAGGUUAGAAUAAUAACUUGUUAGUACAUACAUACUUGUUUCUCUGAAAUACUUGCUUAAUUUGGAUGUUGAACGAUCUACAGCUUUCGUGUUAACAACCGCUGGUCGUUUGUUCCAGCAAAUGAUGAUGUAAAGGCCUGCAAGGAAGUGGUGGUGCAGGCAGCUGCCAAGAAAUGAUGCUACAAACACACGUGACAGACUCAUGUUGCAAGGACGAGAUGGUGUUGCAAAGGCGGGCGAAAGAAGGGUUUUGCAACAACAGACGAAGUGGCGUUGCAAGGACGGCUGGUAAAACAGUAUUGCUGCCCAAACUUCCUAAACCCACACGUGUCUCACCUUCACCUGCUGGCAUUGCGAUAUAAGGAAAACUUUACCCUUCUGGGGACCUUAUCAGACUUAUCAACGCUCGCUGUGCUCCUCGAGAUCUCCCUUUGAGGCCUCGGGGAAGUGGUUGGAAAAAGGGAGAAAAACGAUCGAGGGAUAGAUAUAAAAAAAAGAGUGGGGAGGAGGAGAGGACGUGAUGCAAUUUAGCGUGUAGGACAAAAAGGGCUGAGUUCAAGGGAUGAGGUGGGCAAGGCUGGAUAUCUGAUUCCUAGCGCCACCGCACCGCCCACCACCGGGACCCAAGACUCCCCCACCUGCGGGCUGGUGCCCGCUUUGUGUAUUAUGUGAUGAAGGACACGUGGACCUGUGGAUUGUGUUUAUGUCAGUGUUGGGUCGCCCUCAAUGGGUCUCAAGUGAGGAGGAGGAUCUGUGCAGCCUCUCAGGACUCCUGCUGGGGGAAAUUGCUCUGCUCGAGGGAUCACGGUAAUGUCACAGAGAGCAAGUAGAAGAAAACCUGGGAGACUUGCUUAACUCAGGAACAAGAGCUGCACCUCACCGGAGCUCUGCAAUGUGUGGCAGUGACUGCAGGAAUCAACACUCGGGUUUGUCAGCACACAGUCACAGCGACCUUGUUCAUCAGACUGUUGGUGAAAGAUUCCACAGACCGACUGGGAGACACACAAUGUCAGUGCCACCGCACAGGGAGUGAGGCCCAAGAGGAGGAAGAGGAGCAUUCAAGAGACAUCAGCUGGCCAGCAGUCCAUUCAGGAGUGGAUGGCAGGAGUCAGAGAGAGAGAGAAAUAGGGGUGUGUGUGUGUGUGUGUGUGUGUGUGUGUGUGUGUGUGUGUGUGUGUGUGUGUGUGUGUGUGUGUGUGUUGCAAAGACAGAACCUUAGAAUGUUCCUAUUAAGUGUUAUUACUACUACUACUAUUGUUGCUACUUUGAACUAGUACUUCCACAACCACUAUAUACCACCACUACCACCACCACCACCGCAACCACAACUACUACUACUACUACUACUACUACUACUACUACUACUACUACUACUACUACUACUACUACUACUAAUAAUAAUAAUAAUAAUAAUAAUAAUAAUAAUAAUAAUGCUGUGACCAGCCAGGAGGAAGUGCCUGUAAAGAAAUUUUUUUUAAAUAAUAUACCAAUGAAUGGAAAAUAUUUAUAAUAGUUUACGAUUAUUAUUAUUUUAUUAUUAUUAUUAUUAUUAUUAUUAUUAAUUAUUAUUAUUAUAUUAUUUAUGUAUAUUUUUAGUCUUGUAACAAAAAAUGAAAUAAUAAAAAAAGUUAACUUGUAUUAUUAAAAAAAGUUAACUUGUAUUAUUACCACAAUAUAAAAAUAUAUAUUAUAUAUUUAUUAAUUUAUUUAAUGAACAAUUUCUAAUUUUAUUUUUGGCUUAUAAUAUUAAUAUAAUGCAAUGGAAAUACUUUUAAUACUUUCACAGUGAAUCACAUUAUUUCUGUCAAUUUUUGCAUCUUUCAGGAGUGGAUGGCAGGAGUCAGUAAUCAAUAGUAUCUGGCCAGGCAUAUGUUGCAC